rnacentral:rRNA from 1 species
AGUGAACGCUGGCGGUAGGCCUAACACAUGCAAGUCGAACGGCAGCACAGUAAGAGCUUGCUCUUACGGGUGGCGAGUGGCGGACGGGUGAGGAAUACAUCGGACUCUACUUUUUCGUGGAGGAUAACGUAGGGAAACUUACGCUAAUACCGCAUACGCCCUACGGGUGAAAGCAGGGGAUCUUCGGACCUUGCGGGAUUGAAUUAGCCGAUGUCGGAUUAGCUAGUUGGCGGGGUAAAGGCCCACCAAGGCGACGAUCCGUAGCUGGUCUGAGAGGAUGAUCGGCGACACUGGAACUGAGACACGGUCCAGACUCCUACGGGAGGCAGCAGUGGGGAAUAUUGGACAAUGGGCGCAAGCCUGAUCCAGCCAUACCGCGUGGGUGAAGAAGGCCUUCGGGUUGUAAAGCCCUUUUGUUGGGAAAGAAAAGCAGCAGGUUAAUACGCCGCUGUUCUGACGGUACCCAAAGAAUAAGCACCGGCUAACUUCGUG